AGCGAACGCUGGCGGCAGGCUUAACACAUGCAAGUCGAGCGGGCACUUCGGUGUCAGCGGCAGACGGGUGAGUAACACGUGGGAACGUACCCUUCGGUUCGGAAUAACGCUGGGAAACUAGCGCUAAUACCGGAUACGCCCUUUUGGGGAAAGGUUUACUGCCGAAGGAUCGGCCCGCGUCUGAUUAGCUAGUUGGUGGGGUAAUGGCCUACCAAGGCGACGAUCAGUAGCUGGUCUGAGAGGAUGAUCAGCCACACUGGGACUGAGACACGGCCCAGACUCCUCCGGGCGGCCGCCGUGGGGACUCUUGGACAAUGGGCGCAAGCCUGAUCCAGCCAUGCCGCGUGAGUGAUGAAGGCCUUAGGGUUGUAAAGCUCUUUUGUCCGGGACGAUAAUGACGGUACCGGAAGAAUAAGCCCCGGCUCACUUCGUG
rnacentral:rRNA from 1 species